rnacentral:rRNA from 1 species
AUUCCAGCUCCAAUAGCGUAUGUUAAAGUUGUUGCGGCUAAAAAGCUCGUAGUUGGAUUUCUGUUGAGGACGGCUGGUCCGCUCUAUGAGCGUGCAUCUAGUUUGGCCUCGGCAUCCGCUCUGCAUACGUUCUGCGCUUGAUUGCGUGGUUCGGAGGUAGGGCCUUUUACUUUGAGGAAAUUAGAGUGUUCACGGCAGGCAAUCGCCUUGAAUAUAUUAGCAUGGAAUAAUAACAUAGGAUCUUGGUUCUAUUUUGUUGGUUUCUAGGGCUAAGAUAAUGAUUAAUAGGGACAAUUGGGGGCAUUCGUAUCGCGGUGUCUGAGGUGGAAUUCUUGGAUUACUGCGCGACGAACUACUGCGAAAGCAUUUGCCAAGGAUGUUUUCAUCA